CCUGCUUGGUGCAGUGCCCUGCUGGUGCUGGGACCCUUUGUGUGGGGUCACCUCUGGCUCUUGCCCUGUGGGGUAAUGCAGUUGUGCUGCUCCCUGGUAGUGCUGUGACUUCUGCAUGCUCACACGUCUUCCUCCUGGGCUUCACUACUGGCUCGGGGCUGGGGCUGUCCUGGGGCUGGAUGGGGAGCGAGGGAAGGUGCUGCCUGUCUACGGCUCCACGAAGGUCACUGAAAGGUCCGUGCCCCGUUUCUGUAGCACCAAAGCACUCCCGGUGAUGUUCCAGCUGCGGGGGGCUGCUCCGAUUGAGUGAUCAGUGAAGAAAACCAGAAGGAUCUGCCCAGGGGGAGGGCUUGAAUUCCCUAGCACGGUGCCAGCUGCCUCCAGCCGAGCAGGCAGCCCUGUGCGUGUGGCACCAGCUCUCCGCAGCCUGCUGGUGUCUGAGCAGCCCUGACCACGUUUUGGGAGCCAGCUGGGGCCCCGUGGAGCUGCCAGGCUGCUCCUCGAGCUGCUGCAUGGCCAGGUGCCUCGCUGUGGCAGGGACACUGCAGCACCUCCAGCCCUUCAGCCCCUGCCAGGAUCUGCUCCUUAGAAGGUUUUCCCAAAGCAGCCCAGGCAGCAGCACCCCAGCUGGGCUGGGCUGAAUUAGGAGCUGAGCUCCUUUACAGCGCCGCUUUCUCCCAUCAAAAAGUGCCCCCAACAGAAGCCUCUGGGCACACCUGAACUCCCCUGGGGAGCCUUUGCACAACCCCACAGGACACAGAACUCUGCGUCUGCGCUCUUUCCAAGCAGCCCUAACCGUAACACUAAGCCUAACCCUACUUAGGACCCUAAAAAACACGUACGGUGCCUGUUUCUCCCAUCCAAAAGUGCUCCCAAGGGCCAUCCAAAAAGAUGCUGUAAGGAUGGAAGAUGCAGAGUGGGAACAAAGGAGCUCUGAGGGGUCCAGAGAUAAAUGCCUGGAUGGCUGCUGAGUGCUCAGCCUGAUUUCACGGCGCAAAUAUUGGUUACCCUAGGGCAUCCGAACCGGCCUUAACCCCAGUGAGGUGAGGACAAGUAUCAUUGUAUGGAUUCCUGUUGGAUAGCAAGGAAGAAUUUUCUGCAUGAAAGCUUUAAUUAGAUUUGUUUGGACCGUGUUCAUGUGCCUCCUGGGUUCGCUUUCUGUGAAUACUUUAAGUUUUGUUGGCAGGAACGCUUGUGCAAACUGCAAAUUUGGGGUCAGCAUCUCAUCUGAUAUAAAUCAGUGCAGGCAGCAGAAGUCCACCAAUUUACACCCACGGAAAGGCAGACUCCCUAAAUGAAUAGUGAGAAAUUAGCCUUGGAACAUAAAUUUGGAGUGAAAAACUCCCAGGACUUGUGCUGAAAGCGUUACCCUGAGGCUGCAGCAGCUUUCCAGUGGCAACAGGGAGCAUCAACCAGUGGCCAGCAGGAAUCCUGGUGCAAAGGUGGAGCCCGUCACCCUCCUGCAGCCCCUCGCCUCCUCCCUCCUGCCUGGCGCAGGGUCGGGAGGGCAGCUGCAUCUCGUGGUUCCUCCCCAGGCUGCAGUGCUCUGCUCCCACCAGCCCUUCCCAGUCCUGUUGCCACCACGUGCAACGAGCUCCGUGCUCUCUGGACCUGGUGAUUCCUCCUCCCUCGGGGUACGUGCAGCCCUUGCCCCUCUAGGGUCCUGAUCCAGCCCUGCCUGGGGCUUUGGGGGUGUUGAGUUUGGAUGGAAAUUGUAGGGGAUGGGGCUGAGCCUGAGGACAGCGGGAGGAAAAGGAGGAGAGGGGCCCUCUGAUUGCUAUCUCCUGGAGGAACUGGAGCGUGCCCAGAAACAAUAAAUGUCCAGCGAUGAUUUGAUAUGAGUUAGGAUGGAAAAGCAUCACAGGGUGCGCCCGAGACGAGCUCUCCCUUCAGACUCCGGUGAACUCUUAAACAAACUCUUGUGCGCCUGCAAGGCUGGGCUCCAGAUGGGCUGGGGGGGCUGCUCCUGGCCCCACGCCUGGGGGUGCCCAACCUGCUGGGGGGAUAGAGGAGGGCAGGGCUGGCUCUGCACAGACGCAGACGGAGCAGCAGGACUGGAGCCCCUUGGCACCCUGCCUCUCUCCCAGGAGCAUCACAGCUCGCUUUUCUCAGCCCUUUUUAGGCAAAUCCUGCCUGCCCAGAGCCCCUGGCUCAGAAACCCCCUCUGCAGGGCUGCAGGUGGAUGGUUUAAAAGACCAGCAGAGGGCUUUAAUCCCCCAGUGGUGUGAGCAGAUUAUUCUUGCUUCCCAGGCCAAGCGUUUUGGAAAGGUCGGGUGGCUCAGGUCUGCUCCCCGGCGGGGAGGGCAGCUGGUUAUUUCUCCCCCCAGCACCUCCCUGCUGAGAGCUGGCAGCGCUGCGAUGCAAGCAUCAUCUGGAGGUCACCUGGACUUCUCUCCCCUCCUGGCUUGGAGCACGGCAGCUCUGCAGGCUUCUGCAGCAAAGCAUCAGCAAAAAAGCAUCAGCCACUGAAGCCAGCGAAUUCUCCUGCUCGUCGCUUCGGUUCUGCAUGUGGACAAGGGGAGCUGUGACCUCCCUUCCCCUCUGCUCUCCCCAGAAAAUUGCAGGAGGCACCUGCAGGAGUCACCCCGUGAGGCUGGGGCGGCUGAGCGGGGCCCCAGGGAUCCAGGCCAGGGCUUGUCCUUCAUCACCCGUCCCGAUUUGGGGGCAGGUAGGGGGCUGGGGGUCUGGGCGGUCAACAGGAAUAAAAAGGAGAGGAAUGCAGGGGGCUCGGCCCCAGAGGAGCAGGUUUGGGGUAACGGGAGCAACCAGGAGGCUGAGCUCCUUGCUAGGGCUUUAUGAAGGAGCAGUGCUUCUCUGGGAGGAGGAUUUCAGUCCAUAAAAUAAUGAAGUGAAGGGAAGACGAAGCACCCCCUCCUCCGAGGCUUGCAUGGCGCUGGGAGCCCCAAGUCCCAUUUCCUUGGCCCUGCUUUCCUCAUCUCUCUGUAUGGGGCAGCUGUGGGGUUCCCUGCUCGUGUAUACACGUGUACGCGUGGCCCCGUGUACGCUGCUAACCAGGAACAUCCCCACAAGCAGCCAAAGGCCUCCGGUUCCCCGCCGGCAUCGUUUUGGGGUGAGCGCAGGGGAAGGCCGGAUGCGUGGUAGCCCUGCCCUCACACCCCAUAAAACGGCUCUGUCUCUGGUUUGUGUCUGAGGGGAAAAAAGGAGAGGAGGGGGGGCGGAAAAAAAGCCUCUCCGAAAUGAGAUUCCUGAAAUGACAGCGUGCUGACACGCUGCGGGGUGAUUUUGGCACGGAAUGAGAAAGCUCAGCGGGAGCGGGGGGCUCGCGGGAUCGUGCAGGCCCCCUGGGGGCUGGGACCCCCGGCACCAGCACC